CCCGACUACUAUCAGAGUGAGACUAAGCCAUGCGAGUCAACGUAUGAAUAAUACGUGGCGAACGGCUCAGUAACACGUAGUCAACAUGCCCAAAGGACGUGGAUAACCUCGGGAAACUGGGGAUAAACCGCGAUAGGUCAUAAGUACUGGAAUGUUUUAUGGCUCAAAUCUACAUGGCCUCUGUAUUGGACUGCGGCCGAUCAGGCUGUUGGUGAGGUAAUGGCCCACCAAACCUGUUACCGGUACGGGCUCUGAGAGGAGGAGCCCGGAGAUGGGCACUGAGACAAGGGCCCAGGCCCUAUGGGGCGCAGCAGGCGCGAAACCUCUGCAAUAGGCGAAAGCUUGACAGGGUUACUCUGAGUGGUUCCCGCUAAGGGAAUCUUUUGGCAUCUCUAAAAACGAUGCAGAAU
rnacentral:rRNA from 1 species